GAUGAACGCUGGCGGCGUGCCUAAUACAUGCAAGUCGAGCGAACGGACGAGAAGCUUGCUUCUCUGAUGUUAGCGGCGGACGGGUGAGUAACACGUGGAUACCCUACCUAUAGGACUGGGAUAACUUCGGGAAACCGGAGCUAAUACCGGAUAAUAUUUUGAACCGCAUGGUUCAAAAGUGAAAGACGGUCUUGCUGUCACUUAUAGAUGGAUCCGCGCUGCAUUAGCUAGUUGGUAAGGUAACGGCUUACCAAGGCAACGAUGCAUAGCCGACCUGAGAGGGUGAUCGGCCACACUGGAACUGAGACACGGUCCAGACUCCUACGGGAGGCAGCAGUAGGGAAUCUUCCGCAAUGGGCGAAAGCCUGACGGAGCAACGCCGCGUGAGUGAUGAAGGUCUUCGGAUCGUAAAACUCUGUUAUUAGGGAAGAACAUAUGUGUAAGUAACUGUGCACAUCUUGACGGUACCUAAUCAGAAAGCCACGGCUAACUACGUG
rnacentral:rRNA from 1 species